GCCGGCUUAGCUCAGCUGGUAGAGCACCUGAUUUGUAAUCAGGGGGUCAUCGGUUCGAAUCCGGUAGCCGGCACCA
rnacentral:tRNA from 1 species